GAUGAACGCUGGCGGCGUGCCUAAUACAUGCAAGUCGAGCGAACGGACGAGAAGCUUGCUUCUCUGAUGUUAGCGGCGGACGGGUGAGUAACACGUGGAUAACCUACCUAUAAGACUGGGAUAACUUCGGGAAACCGUAGCUAAUACCGGAUAAUAUUUUGAACCGCAUGGUUCAAAAGUGAAAGACGGUCUUGCUGUCACUUAUAGAUGGAUCCGCGCUGCAUUAGCUAGUUGGUAAGGUAACGGCUUACCAAGGCAACGAUGCAUAGCCGACCUGAGAGGGUGAUCGGCCACACUGGAACUGAGACACGGUCCAGACUCCUACGGGAGGCAGCAGUAGGGAAUCUUCCGCAAUGGGCGAAAGCCUGACGGAGCGACGCCGCGUGAGUGAUGAAGGUCUUCGGAUCGUAAAACUCUGUUAUUAGGGAAGAACAUAUGUGUAAGUAACUGUGCACAUCUUGACGGUACCUAAUCGGAAAGCCACGGCUAACUACGUG
rnacentral:rRNA from 1 species